AAUCAAUAAGCUUUUAGAAGCUUGUAUUUUGAAAGUAUAAGAAAAGGAAUUAACCCCUUAUUGAUUU
rnacentral:tRNA from 1 species